CAGCCGCCACGGGAAUACGAAGGGUGCAAGCGUUAAUCGGAAUUACUGGGCGUAAAGCGCGCGUAGGUGGUUUGGUAAGAUGGAUGUGAAAUCCCCGGGCUCAACCUGGGAACUGCAUCCAUAACUUCCUGACUAGAGUACGGUAGAGGGUGGUGGAAUUUCCUGUGUAGCGGUGAAAUGCGUAGAUAUAGGAAGGAACACCAGUGGCGAAGGCGACCACCUGGACUGAUACUGACACUGAGGUGCGAAAGCGUGGGGAGCAAACAGGAUUAGAUACCCCCGUAGUCCCUGUCUCUUAUAC
rnacentral:rRNA from 1 species